AUGGCUGUCGUCAGCUCGUGUCGUGAGAUGUUGGGUUAAGUCCCGCAACGAGCGCAACCCUUGCCUUUAGUUGCCAGCAGUUCGGCUGGGCACUCUAAAGGGACUGCCGGUGUUAAACCGGAGGAAGGUGGGGAGUGACGUCAAGUCCUCAUGGCCUUUAUGACCAGGGCUACACACGUACUACAAUGGCCGAUACAAAGGGCAGCGACACUGCGAGGUGAAGCCAAUCCCGUAAAAUCGGUCUCAGUCCGGAUUGGAGUCUGCAACUCGACUCCAUGAAGUUGGAAUCGCUAGUAAUCGUGGAUCAGCGUGCCACGGUGAAUACGUUCCCGGGCCUU
rnacentral:rRNA from 1 species